rnacentral:misc_RNA from 1 species
GAUGAAGAACGCAGCGAAAUGCGAUAAGCAAUGUGAAUUGCAGAAUUCAGUGAAUCAUCGAAUCUUUGAACGCACAUUGCGCCCGCCAGUAUUCUGGCGGGCAUGCCUGUUCGAGCGUCAUUACAACCCUCAGGCCCCCGGGCCUGGCGUUGGGGAUCGGCGGAAGCCCCCUGCGGGCACAACGCCGUCCCCCAAAUACAGUGGCGGUCCCGCCGCAGCUUCCAUUGCGUAGUAGCUAACACCUCGCAACUGGAGAGCGGCGCGGCCACGCCGUAAAACACCCAACUUCUGAAUGUUGACCUCGAAUCAGGUAGGAAUACCCGCUGAACUUAAGCAUAUCAAUAGCGGAGGA